UUCUGCUCAUGUGAUGGAUUAUGUUUAUAGAUUUGCGUAUGUUGAACAAGCCUUGCAUUCCAGGUAUGAAGCCAACUUGAUGUGAUGGAUAAGAUUUUUGAUGUGCUGUUGGAUUCGGUUUGCCAGUAUUUUAUUGAGGAUUUUCGCAUGAAUGUUCAUCAGGGAUACUGGCCUGAAAUUUUCUUUUUCAGUUGUAUCUCUGCCAGGUUUUGG